rnacentral:rRNA from 1 species
UACAGAGGGGGCAAGCGUUGUUCGGAAUUACUGGGCGUAAAGGGCGCGUAGGCGGCCUGUUAAGUCGAACGUGAAAUCCCCGGACUCAACCCGGGAACUGCGUCCGAUACUGGCAGGCUUGAAUCCGGGAGAGGGAUGUGGAAUUCCAGGUGUAGCGGUGAAAUGCGUAGAUAUCUGGAGGAACACCGGUGGCGAAGGCGGCAUCCUGGACCGGUAUUGACGCUGAGGCGCGAAAGCCAGGGGAGCAAACGGG